UUUUCAAAAAGACGGAACGACGCCGUAUUGAGCUUGGGGCAUGAAAGAUACCGACGAGGGAUGGUCAAAAAGGCGGUCCAUGUCGGAUUCAAUUUCAGUUCGUUUCGCGAACCGGCCUUUGAUUCUGGGUCUGGUUUCUGCAUAUGCCUUGCGGGAAGCGUAGCGUAUGGUCUUUUCAAAUUUCCGAUUCUUCCUCUUCUCUCUGUA
rnacentral:misc_RNA from 1 species